CUGGCCGGAGAGGAAGGCGGCGCAUUCCGGCCCUCCAUUGCCGGCAAAGCUGGGGUCCACCCCGCCAUACAUCCAGUCCAGGAGGUUGUGGAGGCUGUAGCGAGACAUGGCGGGGACCUCUUCUCCAGGAAUAGCCCCUGCCACCAUUCCAGCCCUGGUCUCUGGGAUGAGCCCUUGCUCAGGUCAGUGCCUCUCUGUGUUUGCCCUGAGCUCUUGGAUGGCUGCCUCUGUGGGUACCACUCUGACAAGGAUGGCUUUGACACCUCGGGCUGAGUUCUACUAACUCCUGAAGGGCUUCUAUAGUCUUAAGAAAAUUCUUCUCAUUUUAUCCACUUUUCAGAGAGUAAGCAAACCCUGGAUCACUUAUGAAAGCAGUGGGGCCACAAGCAAUGCUUUACUGGCUGUGGCAAGGGUUUUGAAGACAGGACAUAGACUGUGACAGGCUGCUGGCAGUCAGACACUGCUGCUGGCUGCCCUGCUCUAGUGAAGCUGCAGCUGGGUAUGGAUCCAAGCCAGGAGCAUGCAAUGCACCUUCAGAUGUGACAUCAAGCAUUCCUACCUUGCUGAAGAUAUGAGAUGCUGGGUAAGGGCUCUCCCAGCCUUGAGGGGCACCCUGAGAAUGUCCCUGCCCCAGGGAGAUCAGCACCAUGAGCUGCCAUGCAGGACACCUCAGUGGUCACAGAGGAUCCAGAUACUUACAGCAAGCCACUCACUAAGGAUGGAUUUGUUAGUUCUUUUUUUUUUUUCUGUUUUGUUGUGUUUUUUCCUUCUUGUUACAAAUCUUGGUUCAUAGAGAUUCUUCCAUCAGUUAUUCUGACUUCCUUCUAUUGAGUCAGUUGCUCACAUGCAUUUUUUAUGAAUUUAAAGAAAAGGUUGUGGUAGUGUGAUUGCUUAUUUCCUCUCAAGGAAUUUUCUUGAGAGAAAGAUGAAAGUCUGUUGCAUUUAUCAUAUCUCUCCCUGUCAGAUAAUUUAGCUAGAACAUAUGCUAGACAAUACCAAAAAAUAAGUAAAUGUCAACUAGAAACAUUCUAAAUAGAAGCUUAAAAAGCAUAUCACAUUGUCAUGAUGUGACAUGCUUUUUAACCUGAUGGACUGAAAAUAAUAAAAAGCACCAGCAGAAACCUGGUAGAUGACAACUGCAUGAGCCAGCUUCUCACCGAUUCACAUUUCUGUCAUGUUCACACUAGUUAGUUUUUCCCUUACAUAAAAUGCUGCAGUAUUAAUAGACACAAAAACAGGUGGAUGUAAAAGCAGGGGAAAGUACAGAACUAUCACGAAUCAGCAAAGUUUGCUCUGAGAUAAAGAAAAUCAUAGUUGACAGUUUAUCUGCACUUGGAUUAUUUGUGUUGAAAUUAAGAGGUCAAACAGUACAGUCAGUCUGCAAUACAGGUGGAGGAGCCACCUGAAAAAUAGGAAAAUUUCUUUGUGGUUUCAUAUUCAUAUGAGUAAACACAGUCUCUGAAAUUAUUUGGAGCUUGGAAAAAUAUAUUUUUGUUGAGUCUGAAAAAAUGGAUCUGCUAUAAAACCCACGUUCUUAAGAAAACUAAAGCUUCUAUCCAGAUGUUCUCCUUAAACUUGAAGUAUCUUGACAAUAAACAAAAAGAUGACUGCUCUUUUCACACAUCAGCAACCAAACAUUUAUGCCUUAGAACACUCCCUUUUAUGUUUGUGUCCUGUGUUGUUCAGCCAUUUUUCAGUUUCCAAGGCAUGUGCUUUAUUUAAUGUCCAGUACUAGCCCCAUAUUAUUGCUAAGUAUAAUAAAAGGCAUUUUACAAAGAACCAUCCAAACUCUUUCUCUUGGAAGCUGAGCCUUAACAGACUUUUCUCAGUCUCUAAUUGUUGUUAGAGUUGAGUUAAGCUGUGACUGGUGUACGUAGGAGGUACACUCUAAAUCUACAUAGAUAUUAAGGCAGAAGAAUGUGUGCUUUCUAUUUUUGUUCUGUUUUGCUAUAGUUUAUUGAGCACACUGGCCUCCAUGAUGAAUUACUGAAAUCCCU